rnacentral:rRNA from 1 species
AUUGAACGCUGGCGGCAGGCCUAACACAUGCAAGUCGAACGAGUGGCGGACGGGUGAGUAAUGUCUGGGAAACUGCCUGAUGGAGGGGGAUAACUACUGGAAACGGUAGCUAAUACCGCAUACCAUCGGAUGUGCCCAGAUGGGAUUAGCUAGUAGGUGGGGUAAAGGAUCACCUAGGCGACGAUCCCUAGCUGGUCUGAGAGGAUGACCAGGCACACUGGAACGGAGUCACGGUACAGUGUCAGUCGGGUGGAAGAAGUGGUGAAUAUUGCACAAUAGACGCAAGCCUGAUGCAGCCAUGCCGCGUGUAUGAUGAAGGCCGUCGAGGUGGAAAGUACUUUCAGCGGGGAUGAAAUACCAGCAGAAGGAGAACCGGGUGACUCCGUGCCAGCAGCCGCGGUAAUAC